rnacentral:rRNA from 1 species
AUUGAACGCUGGCGGCAUGCCUUACACAUGCAAGUCGAACGGCAGCACGGGAGCAAUCCUGGUGGCGAGUGGCGAACGGGUGAGUAAUAUAUCGGAACGUGCCCAGUCGUGGGGGAUAACGUAGCGAAAGCUACGCUAAUACCGCAUACGAUCUAAGGAUGAAAGCGGGGGAUUCGCAAGAACCUCGCGCGAUUGGAGCGGCUGAUAUCAGAUUAGGUUGUUGGUGAGGUAAAAGCUCACCAAGCCGACGAUCUGUAGCUGGUUUGAGAGAACGACCAGCCACACUGGGACUGAGACACGGCCCAGACUCCUACGGGAGGCAGCAGUGGGAAUUUUGGACAAUGGAACGCAAGUCUGAUCCAGCCAUUCCGCGUG